ensembl:Y_RNA Y_RNA Y RNA
UCCUGAUCCAAGCGCAGUGGUGUUUAUCACUAACUAAUCACAACCACUUACAGAUUUCUUCAUUCAUUCUCCACUCCCACUGCUUCACUUGACUAGCUUAAA